GAAAUAUUUACACAAGUGAACAUACACUGAACGAAUAAAUUUGAUCUAUAUAAUGACAAUGUAAAUACAAAAUCAUUAAAAUAAGGGAUUUGUUUGCAUCUGUCUCAAGUCAGGAACCUGAUGUACAGUAGUUGUUGUUUGUUGAUGUGGUUGAUGAGUUUUUUUCAUUUCUCGUUUUCAUAAGAUAAGAUUUGUUUUUCCCAUUUAAAUGGUUAUACACUUAGUCUAGUUUGGGCCCCUUUAUAGCUUGCUGUUCAGUGUGAGCCAAGGCUCUGUGUUGUCAUUUUAGAAAUACAGCAUAAUAUUGGUACAACCUCCAAG
rnacentral:lncRNA from 1 species